CGUCAGAGUUCACUCACAGGGACAAGUAUCAUAUACCAUUCAAACAAAUGACCCUGCGGUAUUCGCAAGAUUAAGACGGUUAUUUCAAAGUGGUGGACACCAAACUUUAACUUCGCAGUUAACUAGCGGCACAAGACGACCAGUACGUCGCUGGAGGAGGCCUACAACGCCAGUUGUCCGACAACAACAAGUUCGGAGAUAUAUUCCAAGACAACAGCCGUAUCUUAACCCACAGCAUGCAAACCCACAACAAGGCCCUACUUCACAUGGAUUAUCAUUGCAUUUUAAACAGUUGCUUCUGGAUUCGCACAACCAAUACAGAGGAGAGUUACGGGCCGCUGAUAUGUAUGCUUUGAAAUGGAAUAAUCAGCUGGCGGAUGAAUCGUUGGAUUGGGCUAAACAAUGCCAAUGGGGUCACCAGAUGGAAGGUCGUGGAGAGAAUCUUGCUAUGAUUUCCGGCACUGGGUUAACGUUAAAGAUGUUGAUAGACUAUGGUUUAAAAGGCUGGUAUGACGAGAAAUAUCAAUGGGAUGGCAAGGAUUGUAUGCCCACCGGAAGUUGUCACUAUACACAGAUGAUCUGGUCUACAACAACAGAAGUUGGGUGCGCUGCGCAUGUCUGUCCGGAUAUGUACUACCUUGUCUGUUUUUACUCUCCACCUGGUAAUAUCAGGGGUGUAAGCCCUUAUCAGCAAGGUACACCAUGUUCAGGAUGUAAUGGUCGAUGUGAAAACAAUCUAUGCUAUUG